rnacentral:rRNA from 1 species
GACAUCCAGAGAACUUAGCAGAGAUGCUUUGGUGCCUUCGGGAACUCUGAGACAGGUGCUGCAUGGCUGUCGUCAGCUCGUGUUGUGAAAUGUUGGGUUAAGUCCCGCAACGAGCGCAACCCUUAUCCUUUGUUGCCAGCGGUUCGGCCGGGAACUCAAAGGAGACUGCCGGUGAUAAACCGGAGGAAGGUGGGGAUGACGUCAAGUCAUCAUGGCCCUUACGGCCAGGGCUACACACGUGCUACAAUGGCGCAUACAAAGAGAAGCGACCUCGCGAGAGCAAGCGGACCUCAUAAAGUGCGUCGUAGUCCGGAUUGGAGUCUGCAACUCGACUCCAUGAAGUCGGAAUCGCUAGUAAUCGUAGAUCAGAAUGCUACGGUGAAUACGUUCCCGGGCCUUGUACACACCGCCCGUCACACCAUGGGAGUGGGUUGCAAAAGAAGUAGGUAGCUUAACCUUCGGGAGGGCGCUUACCACUUUGUGAUUCAUGACUGGGGCGAAGUCGUAACAAGGUAAGCGUAGCGAG